rnacentral:rRNA from 1 species
AACGUAGGAGACAAACGUUAUCCGGAUUUACUGGGCGUAAAGGGCGUGUAGGCGGUUUGUUAAGUCUGGCGUGAAAGCUCUCGGCUAAACCGGGAGAGGUCGUUGGAUACUGGCAAACUAGAGGACGGUAGAGGCGUGUGGAAUUUCGGGUGUAGUGGUGAAAUGCGUAGAGAUCCGGAGGAACACCAGUGGCGAAGGCGACACGCUGGGCCGUACCUGACGCUAAAGCGCGACAGCAUGGGGAUCAAACGGG